GGGCCCGUAGCUCAGCUUGGAUAGAGCGNNCGGAAAAAGCGUUCACGGAAAAAACCAUACUUCCUCCGUAAUUGUUCGGAGAAAGGUGAAGGCCGUGAGUUCAAAUCUCACCGGGCCCG
rnacentral:tRNA from 1 species